rnacentral:rRNA from 1 species
AACUUUCGAUGGUAGGAUAGAGGCCUACCAUGGUGGUAACGGGUAACGGGGUGUUAGGGCACGACACCGGAGAGGGAGCCUGAGAAACGGCUACCACAUCCAAGGAUGGCAGCAGGCGCGCAAAUUACCCAAUCCCGACACGGGGAGGUAGUGACAAUAAAUAACAAUACGGGGUUCUUUCGGAUCUCGUAAUUGGAAUGAGUACAAUUUAAAUCUCUUAACGAGGAACAAUUGGAGGGCAAGUCUGGUGCCAGCAGCCGCGGUAAUUCCAGCUCCAAUAGCGUAUAUUAAAGUUGUUGCAGUUAAAAAGCUCGUAGUUGAAUUUCGGGGUCAAUAAGUUGGUCGUGCCAAUGGUAUGCACUGGCUUUAUUGAUUCCUACCUCUUGACGAACUGUGAUGCCAUUAAUUUGGUGUCGCAAGGAAUCAGGACUGUUACCUUGAAAAAAUUAGAGUGUUUAAAGCAGGCUUACGCUUGAAUACAUUAGCAUGGAAAUAAUGAAAUAGGACGUUUGAACCUAUUUUGUUGGNUUCUAGGAUCGACGUAAUGAUUAAUAGGGAUAGUUGGGGGCAUUAGUAUUCAAUUGUCAGAGGUGAAAUUCUUGGAUUUAUUGAAGACUAACUACUGCGAAAGCAUUUGCCAAGGAUGUCUUCAUUAAUCANAACGAAAGUUAGGGGAUCGAAGACGAUCAGAAUACCGUCGUAGUCUUAACAUAAACUAUGCCGACUAGGGAUCGGAUGAUGUUAAUUUUUAAUGACUCAUUCGGCCGCCUUACGGGAACAAAGUGUUGGGUUC